GCAAAGGAUCUAGCGGAAAAUACGGUUCAGGGAGUGUGUGAAGCCUGGGCCAACGCAGAGAACGAAGAGAAGACGUGGAGGAAGGACAUGGACUUUUGGCCUCGUAUCCACGCCUGCACCAAAGCCCAGACACCAGGUCUAUGUGGCUGUGUCUAACCAGCAGAUUUCUGUCCAAAGUUACACAAAGCUGAUGUUGCUGAAACUUACAGGUUUCUAUGACCGGAGCCUCUUGUGCCAGUUGCUACCUAUACCUUGGCCUUGGCUCCCAUCUGCUCUUUGGCUAAAAUGCCUGGAUUUGUGCCCAGUUGUAGAUUUCUGUCUCCACCUACUUAAGACUUACGGUCUUGAAGGCAUCUUCAGAGCCAACUGCCACAACAUUUCAGGGGAACCAGACAUUGUGUGAAUUGUUUAAAGCGCAUAAUCUUGAAUAAUCACCACGACAAUCCUGUGAGCAAGACCUCAAGGUUGCAAAGGAUACAUCUGUGAGACUGCACCAUGAAUUGGAAAAUGUGGAAGAAAAGCGAACAACAAUGGAAGAUGAAAAUGAGAAACUGAGGCAACAGCUCAUAGAAGUUGAGAUAGCAAAGCAAGCAUUGCAGAAUGAACUGGAAAAAACGAAGGAGAUGAAGAAACUUGAAGCUGAAAGUUUGUCCAUGGUCUUCUUGGGGAUGCAAACUCAGGUCUACCUUCAGAAUUGUUGGAUAUUGCAAAGCAACUGGAAAGCUCUCUUUAGAAGACAACAAAUGUAGAAAGGCUGGUUUCAAGGUCCAACUCCGCUUUGCACAUACUCUCUGCCCAAAUCUGGGAGGUAAUUCUGUGUGGAGGCUGAGAGGACUGGUCUAGGCAAAGGAGGAUGGUGGCCUUCAUCAGAGGGGCAGCUGUGGAACUGAACACAUCUGACAUGCCUUCAGACACCAGGAUGAACAGUACAUUGACCCAUGCAUUCAGCAGCUAAAAUGUGCCAGGUGAGGAAAUGGACUCACUCGUGAUUGGUUUGAAUACGCCCUUGGAACAGAA
ensembl:lncRNA